UACGUAGGGUUCGAGCGUUGUCCGGAAUUAUUGGGCGUAAAGAGCUCGUAGGCGGUCUGUCGCGUCGAUCGUGAAAACUUGGGGCUUAACCCUGAGCUUGCGGUCGAUACGGGCAUGACUGGAGUUCGGCAGGGGAGACUGGAAUUCCUGGUGUAGCGGUGAAAUGCGCAGAUAUCAGGAGGAACACCGGUGGCGAAGGCGGGUCUCUGGGCCGAUACUGACGCUGAGACGCGAAAGCGUGGGGAGCGAACAGG
rnacentral:rRNA from 1 species